UUGUGGAGGAGGACGCCGAAGGUGGGGCUAAUGACUGGGGUGAAGUCGUAACAAGGUAGCCGUACCGGAAGGUGCGGCUGGAUCACCUCCUAACAGGGAGACAACAAAAUGUUAAAUAUUAAUUUUGUCACCUUAGGUCGAUCGGUAUCUCACAUUCUUAAUCAAUUUAAGAAUUUUAUUUCCUAAGUUUUUCUAGGUCACACCCAUCAUUUUCCCUGGGCCAUUAGCUCAGGUGGUUAGAGCGCACCCCUGAUAAGGGUGAGGUCCCUGGUUCAAGUCCAGGAUGGCCCAUAUCUCUAUGUUGGGGGUAUAGCUCAGUUGGUAGAGCGCCUGCUUUGCAAGCAGGAUGUCAGCGGUUCGAGUCCGCUUACCUCCACUGAUUACCACCUCUUCCAUAAUUUAAAGAAGGGAAAUUUUAGGUUGUGAUCUAAUUCUGGACGAAUCUAGCUUCCUAAUUAAACUUAUUAAGAUGCUGGACUCAUUGAAUUAAUUUCAUUGUUUUCAGAGAACCUUGACAACUGCAUAGAUUAUUUUUAAAGACAAUAAGCAUCUUUAAUGAUGCAGAUUUAUUAUUUGUGCUAAUGCAUUAAUAACAAUUCUAUUAAGCUGAUGCUUCAUUUUGAAGUUAUUGGUCAAGCUACAA
rnacentral:misc_RNA from 1 species